rnacentral:rRNA from 1 species
GAUGAACGCUGGCGGCGUGCCUAAUACAUGCAAGUCGAGCGAAUGGAUUAAGAGCUUGCUCUUAUGAAGUUAGCGGCGGACGGGUGAGUAACACGUGGGUAACCUGCCCAUAAGACUGGGAUAACUCCGGGAAACCGGGGCUAAUACCGGAUAACAUUUUGAACCGCAUGGUUCGAAAUUGAAAGGCGGCUUCGGCUGUCACUUAUGGAUGGACCCGCGUCGCAUUAGCUAGUUGGUGAGGUAACGGCUCACCAAGGCAACGAUGCGUAGCCGACCUGAGAGGGUGAUCGGCCACACUGGGACUGAGACACGGCCCAGAAGCCGACGGGAGGCAGCAGUAGGGAAUCUUCCGUAAUGGACGAAAGUCUGACGGAGCAACGCCGCGUGAGUGAUGAAGGCUUUCGGGUCGUAAAACUCUGUUGUUAGGGAAGAACAAGUGCUAGUUGAAUAAGCUGGCACCUUGACGGUACCUAACCAGAAAGCCACGGCUAACUACGUGCCAGCCGCCGCAGUAA